AUGAUUAGUAAGGGCUGAUCCAGCGUAGUAACGGUGGAGCUUACAUAACAGGGCACACCUGCGCUCGCAUUAUUCACUGAGUCACGCCUUUCUUACGCCACGGAAGCUGGUACCAGCAUCUGUGGCCUCAUCCAGGUGCGGCCACCAGCGUUCCCUGCGAGAGACAUGGAAAUAUCACUGCGUUGGAAAGCGCCGGGAGCUGUCUGAAGCUGGAAGAAAGCCAUCUACUCUCUCCAUGAUGCUCUCCUCUGCGCUUCCCCCCUCUCCGCCACUGACCCCGGAUCAGUUUGACAGAGCUCUGUGCUCAUGAUUACAGGAUGAUGCUGUUGGCCGAAGCGAACUGCUCAGGAUACGGAGGAGCCAUGGAGGAUGUGUAAAGGAGACUCUGGCUUUCUGCAUGAAUAUUUCAGCCUGUCACUCUGCUUAUCUUUAGAUUCCACAGAUGAGGGCUGGAGGAGAAGAGAUGAGGGGUGGUUGCUAGGCAACGAGCAUCCUCUUGCUCUUCCUACACAACUGUGAACACCGCUGAUCGCAGAUUCCCUCUUCAGCAGGGACUCACGCACACACACACACACACACACACACUUUAGUAGAGAUUCUUGGCCACUAACACACCCUCAACCAUUCCGGCACAAGCGUUGCCACGGUGCUUGAUCACAUGUGAGGCAACAGCUUUGUGUAGAAAAAGAAGCCAAUCACACAGGCGUGCGCUCACACAUGCACACAAACACAAUGAAGGUCUCAGCGACCAUGUCCUUGGGAUGCCACCCCCCACCCCCUCGUAACCACACAUGGCCAUACCUCUCCCCACACCUCCUACUGCACAGAUACGAACGUGGCAACCAGGAAGCAGGUUAGUCAGUGUGUGGUUACCGGAUUUCUUCUGUCUAAAGUAGUAGUUGAAGAUAACGUGUAAUUUUCCAUGACUGCCGCGGUGAUUGAGUGUGUACCAUGAUGCAUUUCCAGCUGCUAACAUGGUGUGGGGAUGGCCUAUAUAUGUACAACACUGCCCCCCCGAAACUGCCACCACAUGAACUGUGGAGUAGAGAGACAGCAAUGUGUGUAGAAUGUGUCUGAAGGCAGGAGGGGCCCCGGCACCACCCCAUGAUUUCUAGCACCCAGUAGAGUGUCCAUCAGAGGCAGAGUGAAGUACAGGUAGACAGUGAGCCACAGACAGAUACAAACACACAGACAGAGAUAGUGAGGCACAGAUGGAUACAAUCAGAAUCAGGUAGAGACAGUGAGGCACAGACGGAUACAAUCAUACACAGACAGAGACAGUGAGGAACAGACGGGUACAAUCACACAAAGACAGAGACAGUGAGCCACAGAAAGAUACAAUCAUAUACAGACAGAGACAGUGAGGCACAGAUGGAUACAAUCAUACACAGACAGAGACUGUGAAGUACAGAUGGGUACAAUCAUACAGAGACAGAGACAAUGAGGCACAGAAAGAUACAAUCAUAUACAGACAGAGACAUUGAGGCACAGAUGGAUACAAUCAUACACAGACAGAGACUGUGAAGUACAGAUGGGUACAAUCAUACAGAGACAGAGACAAUGAGGCACAGAAAGAUACAAUCAUACACAGACACUGAGCCACAGACAGAUACAAACACACAGAUAGAGAUAGUGAGGCACAGAUGGAUACAAUCACAAUCAGGUAGAGACAGUGAGGCACAGACGGAUACAAUCAUACACAGACAGAGACUGUGAAGUACAGAUGGGUACAAUCAUACAGAGACAGAGACAAUGAGGCACAGAAAGAUACAAUCAUAUACAGACAGAGACAUUGAGGCACAGACGGAUACAAUCAUACACAGACAGUGAGCCACAGACAGAUACAAACACACAGACAGAGAUAGUGAGGCACAGAUGGAUACAAUCAGAAUCAGGUAGAGACUAUGGGGCACAGACGGAUACAAUCAUACAGAGGCAGUGAGGCACUGACAGAUACAAUCAUACACAGACAGAGAUUGUGAGGUAUAGACGGGUACAAUCAUACAGAGACAGUGAGGAACAGACGGAUACAAUCAUACAGAGACAGUGAGCCACAGACGGAUACAAUCAUACACAGA